GAAAAAUCAGAAUGGCAGUUGUCAAAGAUAAAGACAGCCAGACAUUAGUUAGAGUAGUGACAACAGAUUUUAUUCAGAAACUCCCGACAGUAGGGGAGAGAGCUGGGCUCCAUUCCGACGUGCGCGGAGCUUUUGUGGGCCAGGACUUGGAAGCGGCUGAGCUGGGUGCUUGGCUCACGGCCUCUUGAGGCGACGGUCGGGGUAUUGGCCAGGGUCGCAGUCACACAGUCAUCUGAAGGCUUCACCGGCCUGGCGGUCCUCUUCCACAGGGACUCGCUCACGUGCCUCACGAGUUGGUGUUGGCUGCUGGCAGGGGGCCCCCGUCCUCUCCCAAUGAGCCUUUCCACCAGCCGCUUGAAUGUCCUCUUGACAUGGAGGCUGGCUUCCCCUGAGAGAGAGAUCAAGAGAGACCAAGACUGAAGCCACAACAUUUUUCAUUACCCAGCCUCAAAAGUCACUCUCCAUCAUUUCUGCAACGUCCGUUGGUUACACAGGUCAACUCUAUUCAACAUGGAUGGGAACUACAAAAAGGCUUGAAUACCCAAAGGCAAGACUCGCUGAGGGCCGUCUCGGAGGACGGCUGCCGCUUGAGAGAAUGUCAAAUCCCACAGGUUCUUCAUCAUCCGGUCCAGCUUGCCCUGAUGUGCCCGCCCGUGUCAUCUCAGCUCUGCUGAGCCCUCUGUCCUCGGGCCCCUCAUCCGGCGCCGAGGCGUACAGUGUCUCCUGUGCCUUAACGCCAAGAGGGACGGCCGUUUGUAAGUCCUUUCAUAGCCUCCGCUACACCAAAGGCAGGGCUGAAAGCACACAUGGGGCCCAGAAGUUCUCGUCGAAUAACAAAAUAGUGAUUUUUGUCUCUUCAGAUGUCACGUGAGAGUUUCAGGAUUCCAUACUUUCCCAGGAGUUUUCCUUGUUAUCUUACAAGGACAAAUGUUUUCACCGUUAUCAAAAUUCCUUCAGUUGUUUGUAACUUUAAAGUCCCAUCAGGACCUGCGUUCCAAGACUUUAAACUACUGAAGCCUAACGUUGUAUUUAAUGAGGAGCAAAACCAAGUUAAUUCCCAUUCACAGAUGACAAGUGAACAGUUGGCAGCAAUUUCAACAUCUGCUUUUAAUUCAUUUAAGUGUGAUCAAAUGGUGAUUAAAAAAAGUGCUGGAAACUCUAAUAUUUCUCCAUUAUCCUUCGAAUAGUUGUCUCUGCUAACUGAAGUUGACUCUUGAUGGUUGUGUAGAUGGACCCAAAGUAAACACUGGGGCAGAGAGUGGUCCGUUUUUGUGCCUUCAUGUGGGAGCCUGUUUCACCCUUUCUUCGUUCCAAGUUCGUUCCCAAAUGUUCCAGACAAAAGGCUCUUGUUAGGGUUGAGUCACUGCUGGUUUGAAACGGGGAUAGUAACCAACAUGUUAGUUGGAACUAGCCUUAGAUUUAAAAACUUCUUGCCUUUGUGAGUUCACGCACACGCGCACACACAAUCUGUAAACAAUAUCCUCAGACGAUGGCUGUGCUGUUCUUUAUUUAUAAUCUGUCUCCAUUUGCCUCAUACACCUUGCUCACCCUUCCUUUUAGGCGUACUUCUUGCCAAAUAAAGUAAUUAGCAAGGAAUCAG
rnacentral:lncRNA from 1 species